CCACCGUAACUGGACAAAAUUAGGAAGUACAUAAUAGGUUCACUAUACACAAUAUGAUGCACUGAAACAAAAGUUGGUCACUAUCUUUACAAACAAAACCUCUUAUUUAAAAUCUAAAAGGUACAUAAUGUCUACAAUAAUAUGUAUCCAAAAAUGAGGCUAAUAAAUAAUCACUGUAGAUCCAUGCAGGACAGACAUAGAAAUAAUGCCAAUCUUGAUUCUAGGGGUGCAUAACACUUCAAUCAUGAUAAUGCAAGGGAAACGGUAAGAGUUCUUCCACUUUUCGGGCUUUGACUCAUUGCUAAGCAAAACAAGCCAAACAAAUCAUUAAGCAUUCUCUCAAUUAAGUUACUUAAUUUGAACUCAAGCCACACAAUCAAAUAACAGUAAGUUUAAAGAUAUCUAAUUGGGCCUAGAACAACAAAGCCUAAAGAAGUGUCAGAUGUUUUAAAUGAGGUCCUUUAAUCUCUAUAUCUUGACUAAUAAUCUGCACAUAGAACAGCAAAAACAUAUUCCAAGGAAAAUGAAGAAAAUUCUCUUAACAAAUUUAGCAAGUCAGCAAAAUGUUGAACUCAAAGUCAUAGCUCAGGAAAUCCUCAUCAAUCCAUUUUAGCUGUGAGGAGUAAAGACAAGUUAAAUUAAAUAGCUAUCAAUGAUACAGUCAACCAAACACAGUAGCUCUAGUAUGGUAAAAGAAUAUUGAAAUGGUCAAAUAAUAGUGAAUUUCCCAAAGAAUAGGAAACUUAAAUGACCAAUGCCUAUCUUAGCGCCAAGUAACCCAAGGGUCUUUUCUUGAAACUUAAUCCCUAACUUUUUCUUAACAUUUUAAUCAUUACAGUAAUGACCAUAAUGAUUUCAGUAUCAGUAUUUCAACUUACACUUUUUCCCACACCUUUCUUCUUUUCUUUUACGUCCCUCCUCAUACUGCCAAUGCCUCUCAUCCUUUUUUCAACAAGUUUAUACCUAUAAAUAUUGAAGUUCAAGAAAUGAACCCAAAAGGUUAAAGAUGAAAUAUACAAAUUUAUUACCAAGUAAAACUUACUCUAACAACAAAAGUGUAAUCAAUCUAUAAAAUUAAUCAAUGAAAAGAAACUAAUGAUUCGUUAUUCAAAAGCCCAUCAAAAGAAGAUGACAUUUUCACACUACAAAAUAGUCUAUCUAGAUAGCCAAAUAAGGAAGCUGACAUGCUAUGGAGUUCCAAAUACGGAUGUGCACAAUAUCUGCUCAACCAAGUCACCUAGUUUAAGAUAUUCUCACCUGUCAAUUAAGUAGAACUUAUACUAUCAUUAAAACCCAAAAAAGGAAAAACAACAAUAAAAGGUGAACAAACAACUACUUAAAGGCUAUCUUCACCAUUUGUUUAUUCCUGGACCACAAAUAAAGAUUGCUUCUUCCUGUAGUGGAUACCAGAAAAAGAAGAAAGAAGAAAGAAAAGGUCAGAGAUAAAAAUCUGAUGAGGAAAAAUUUAUCCCUGAGAAAUUGCAAUGGCAAAGCACCUUCAGUUGUGUAGACAAUCAUCUCUCUAGUCUUACUCUCAAACAUAUACUACUUUAGAAAUAUUGACUUGUCCUAAAAGAUGCAGAGACAGAAAUUGCAUGAAGACCAGGUCUCAUAUUCAAUGAAAAAACAAGAAAAGAACAAAAGGAUUCAACUUUUAACUGAGCAAAAAAUGAGUCCUGAACCAGUUUAGAGGUUUCUUCGAAAAAUCUUUAAACUUCUUUGCAAAAGUGAAAGUGAAAAGUCUUAACCUCGACCCUUUUGUUCCAUAUUAGUUAAUGUUAUUUAUCAUUUAACUUCUGAUUUAACAGAUGCACUUGAUAUAAUUUUGGCAGAUUUCAUUGUGACAGGUAAAAAGAUUCACUCAAAGCUAGUAUUUAAAAAAAGAAUAUUAAAAUCUAAAAACAAAAGGCCCAAAGUAUCGUGAAAAAUAUAGGAGCAGGAGUUUUACCACAAUUUUUUGCCAUCGUCCACAAACCUCUAUCAUAGAGGGAAAGAGGGAAGGUCACAAAUUGAAAAAAGAAACAAACCAGAGCAAAAAACUUGUGGGCUAAAAAGUUUCUUACCACAGAGGUUGUUCUUCCUCACUCUGUAAAAAUGCAAAUUGUAAUAUGAAAGUAUAAAUGAAGUAAAAAGACAGGAAAAAUCACAGAUGAAUGUGCGCCAAGAAAAGAAGCAAUCAGUGUUUCUAUAACAGGGGCUCUAGAAUGCAUAGGUGUUUUAGGGAUUAAAUGCUUCUAGAAUGCUUUAAGAAACCACUAUAACUCAUACUUUCUGUCAAACAGCACCAGAAAAAAUGUUUACAGAGGAAAACAUUGAUGUUCAUGCCUAUUUUUUAGCUAAAACCUAAUAAAUUUAUCUUCCUUUCUAUAAAAAUAAUAGUAUAAUCCAAUAAAAUAAAAGACAAAAUAAAAACUUCAAGUGAUUUGAGAGUAGAGACUGAAAUUAAAAGGACAAAGUUUUUAUUGGCAAUAAAUAAAUAAACAAAUAAAUCAAUAGAUAAAUAAAGCAGAACAGAC
rnacentral:lncRNA from 1 species